rnacentral:rRNA from 1 species
UGCUAAUCUGCGAUAAGCGUCGGUGAGGUGAUAUGAACCGUUAUAACCGGCGAUUUCCGAAUGGGGAAACCCAGUGUGUUUCGACACACUAUCAUUAACUGAAUCCAUAGGUUAAUGAGGCGAACCGGGGGAACUGAAACAUCUAAGUACCCCGAGGAAAAGAAAUCAACCGAGAUUCCCCCAGUAGCGGCGAGCGAACGGGGAGGAGCCCAGAGCCUGAAUCAGUGUGUGUGUUAGUGGAAGCGUCUGGAAAGGCGCGCGAUACAGGGUGACAGCCCCGUACACAAAAAUGCACAUAUUGUGAGCUCGAUGAGUAGGGCGGGACACGUGGUAUCCUGUCUGAAUAUGGGGGGACCAUCCUCCAAGGCUAAAUACUCCUGACUGACCGAUAGUGAACCAGUACCGU